rnacentral:piRNA from 1 species
UGGUAAAGUUUCGGUCCAGUUGAUGUC